UUGAAAGGGAAACGAUUGAAGUCAGUCGUACCAGCGGGAAUCAACCUUUCGAGUGGGGNUUUGGAGUUUUGAAGAGUGUCAAAACCUUUGAGAUUUCAAAAUUUUCGCUCCUUUGGUGUACUUUCUCGUGGGUAGGUUAACAUCGAUUUCGAUCAUCAUAAAAGGAUUGGAGGAAUGUAGCUUCGAUCUUGUAUUGAAGUGUUAUAGCCUUUGGUAAAUGUGAUGAUUGGGUUCGAGGAUUGCAACGAAUACCCUUUUGGGCUAUCCGCCUGAUCUCUGAUACGUGGCCUUGGCAUCGAAAGCUUGCUUAUGGUAUUAAGGUAUUACGGUCAAAAGGUUAGAACGGAUUACAUUCGUUAAGGAUGUUGACGUA
rnacentral:rRNA from 1 species